UUUCGCAAUGCCCGAAAGGGUGACGAAGCGACGCCGCGUGGGUGAGGAAGGCCUUCGGGUUGUAAAGCCCUGUCAGGAGUUAAGAAAUGUAGAUUCGCUAAUAUCGGGUCUAUUUGACGAAGGCUCCAAAGGAAGCCACGGCUAACUCUGUGCCAGCAGCCGCGGUAAUACAGAGGUGGCAAGCGUUGUUCGGAAUUAUUGGGCGUAAAGAGCACGUAGGUGGAUUUGUAAGUCAGAUGUGAAAGCCUUCUGUUCAACGGGAGAAUUGCAUCUGAAACUACAGACCUUGAGUAUAGGAGGGGAGAAUGGAACUUCUGGUGGAGCGGUGAAAUGCGUAGAUAUCAGAAGGAACGCCGGCGGCGAAAGCGAUUCUCUGGCCUAUUACUGACACUCAGUGUGCGAAAGCUAGGGGAGCAAACGGGAUUAGAUACCCCGGUAGUCCUAACCGUAAACGAUGGGCACUAAGUAGAGGGGUUUUA
rnacentral:rRNA from 1 species